UGCCGUAACUUCGGGAGAAGGCACGCUGGUGUGUAGGUGAAGUCCCUGCGGAUGGAGCUGAGACCAGUCGAAGAUACCAGCUGGCUGCAACUGUUUAUUAAAAACACAGCACUGUGCAAACACGAAAGUGGACGUAUACGGUGUGACGCCUGCCCGGUGCCGGAAGGUUAAUUGAUGGGGUUAUCCGUAAGGAGAAGCUCUUGAUCGAAGCCCCGGUAAACGGCGGCCGUAACUAUAACGGUCCUAAGGUAGCGAAAUUCCUUGUCGGGUAAGUUCCGACCUGCACGAAUGGCGUAAUGAUGGCCAGGCUGUCUCCACCCGAGACUCAGUGAAAUUGAACUCGCUGUGAAGAUGCAGUGUACCCGCGGCAAGACGGAAAGACCCCGUGAACCUUUACUAUAGCUUGACACUGAACAUUGAGCCUUGAUGUGUAGGAUAGGUGGGAGGCUUUGAAGCGUGGACGCCAGUCUGCGUGGAGCCAACCUUGAAAUACCACCCUUUAAUGUUUGAUGUUCUAACGUUGGCCCCUUACCGGGGUUGCGGACAGUGUCUGGUGGGUAGUUUGACUGGGGCGGUCUCCUCCCAAAGCGUAACGGAGGAGCACGAAGGUUAGCUAAUCCUGGUCGGACAUCAGGAGGUUAGUGCAAUGGCAUAAGCUAGCUUGACUGCGAGCGUGACGGCGCGAGCAGGUGCGAAAGCAGGUCAUAGUGAUCCGGUGGUUCUGAAUGGAAGGGCCAUCGCUCAACGGAUAAAAGGUACUCCGGGGAUAACAGGCUGAUACCGCCCAAGAGUUCAUAUCGACGGCGGUGUUUGGCACCUCGAUGUCGGCUCAUCACAUCCUGGGGCUGAAGUAGGUCCCAAGGGUAUGGCUGUUCGCCAUUUAAAGUGGUACGCGAGCUGGGUUUAGAACGUCGUGAGACAGUUCGGUCCCUAUCUGCCGUGGGCGCUGGAGAAUUGAGGGGGGCUGCUCCUAGUACGAGAGGACCGGAGUGGACGCAUCACUGGUGUUCGGGUUGUCAUGCCAAUGGCACUGCCCGGUAGCUAAAUGCGGAAGAGAUAAGUGCUGAAAGCAUCUAAGCACGAAACUUGCCCCGAGAUGAGUUCUCCCUGAGACUUUAAGUCUCCUGAAGGAACGUUAAAGACGAUGACGUUGAUAGGCCGGGUGUGUAAGCGCAGCGAUGCGUUGAGCUAACCGGUACUAAUGAACCGUGAGGCUUAACCUUACAACGCCGAAG
rnacentral:rRNA from 1 species